UACGAAGGGUGCAAGCGUUAAUCGGAAUUACUGGGCGUAAAGGGUGCGUAGGCGGUUGUUUAAGUCUGUCGUGAAAUCCCCCGGGCUCAACCUGGGAAUGGCGAUGGAUACUGGGCAGCUAGAGUGUGUCAGAGGAUGGUGGAAUUCCCGGUGUAGCGGUGAAAUGCGUAGAGAUCGGGAGGAACAUCAGUGGCGAAGGCGGCCAUCUGGGACAACACUGACGCUGAAGCACGAAAGCGUGGGGAGCAAACAGG
rnacentral:rRNA from 1 species